GAUGAACGCUGGCGGCGUGCUUAACACAUGCAAGUCGAACGAUUAAGACGGCUUCGGCCGUGUAUAGAGUGGCGAACGGGUGAGUAACACGUGACCAACCUGCCCCGCGCUCCGGGACAACCGCUGGAAACGGCGGCUAAUACCGGAUGCUCCGGGGAGGCCCCAUGGCCUCCCCGGGAAAGCCUUAACGGCGCGGGAUGGGGUCGCGGCCCAUUAGGUAGACGGCGGGGUAACGGCCCACCGUGCCCGCGAUGGGUAGCCGGACUGAGAGGUCGACCGGCCACAUUGGGACUGAGAUACGGCCCAGACUCCUACGGGAGGCAGCAGUGGGGAAUUUUGCGCAAUGGGGGAAACCCUGACGCAGCAACGCCGCGUGCGGGACGAAGGCCUUCGGGUUGUAAACCGCUUUCAGCAGGGAAGACAUAGACGGU
rnacentral:rRNA from 1 species